UACGUAGGGUGCAAGCGUUGUCCGGAAUUAUUGGGCGUAAAGAGCUCGUAGGCGGUUUGUCGCGUCUGCUGUGAAAUCCCGAGGCUCAACCUCGGGCCUGCAGUGGGUACGGGCAGACUAGAGUGCGGUAGGGGAGAUUGGAAUUCCUGGUGUAGCGGUGGAAUGCGCAGAUAUCAGGAGGAACACCGAUGGCGAAGGCAGAUCUCUGGGCCGUAACUGACGCUGAGGAGCGAAAGCGUGGGGAGCAAACGGG
rnacentral:rRNA from 1 species